CACAGGGGGCAGGGUGGUAGCUGUUCAGGUCAAAGUCCACUAUCACAGCUGGGGGGAGUCCAGGAUACAACUCGCUCCGGCUCAGACGGAGCCCACUCAGAAAUCCAAGCCCCAGCAGGACGGUGCCGUAGAUAGCGAGGAAGGGGGCUGACAUCAUGGCGUAACGACGUCGGUCUCUCAUCAUCCAAAUGAUACAGGACCACACCAGCAGGGCGAAAGUCAGCCAGUUGUUGGUUGCCACCUUGGAUUUGUGAAAAAAGGGACACUCGACCAAUUGUUUGGGAGGGUUCGGCUACUAUUACCAGUUCAGACUGACCAAAUGAUCAUUAAAUUCGGACAUAGGACACUGAUGACCCUGGAGAAGCUUGGAGGAGCCUCUGGACUUUCUAAUGGACUCUCAGUUUCUUCACCAGCAACGGUGUCCUGCAAAAAAUAGCUAUUAACAGCUUGUCACUUCCACACCUGGCGUAGACAUCCUCUGGUGGCACAAGCUGCUGGGACAGGGGCAGCUGGUAGAGGUACAGAGCCAACAGAUGCCCUCCGCUGAAGAUGGCCAUCAUCACACAUAGGGAGCUGAAGAGUAGCAAGCUGAUGGAACGACUGAAAACCCACCACCAAACCAGCCCAAUAAACACCCCGAAAUAUACACCUGAGACAGCAGCAGCCUCAGCCCAGCUGCAAACACUAUCAGCUUCUGGACAAACUGAGGUGGACCUGUCUGAACCGGUAUAGUGGUCUCAUCUGAGCUGUCAAAGGAGGAGCCCUCUGUGUCGCUUCCGUCCUCAGACUCAGUUUCAGUUGUUUCCACUUCCUGUCAGAUCAAUUAAAAUCAGAUUGGUACCAUAAUGCAUUCUUAGCAUAUUGUGUUUUACAACAGUUGAUUUGUUACCUCAGGGUCAGACGGCUGUAUGCCAUUUUCGUGGAGACUGACUUGUGGCACAUGGCGUAGUAAUUUUUUGCACAGUCUGAGUAUGAAAAGGGAGGCAAACAGGAGGCCUACAUCUGGAGCCAGAAGACGCACAACAUUUCCAGCAUCAACCGAGCUGAAUCUGAAAAAAACACAUUCAUGGGUUUGAGCUCCACUGAUUUAUUUUCUUUCUAUGGAAAUGAAUUGGAGGAAAUUUAUUUGAAACAAAGUGUUUUAAGCCUCCGUAAGUUGAGCCUUGAUUUAGAUUUAAGAGAGUGUAAUUUGAAGAUUCUGUGUUGUAAAUAUAUGACUACUAAUGUAAGUGCAUUCUCAUACCUUACAAUCCCUAAGUGGUAGAGGAGAUCUUCCCAGAACCCACUGACUGUUAAAUAAAAAACAUAGUCAUCAA